rnacentral:rRNA from 1 species
GAUGAACGCUGGCGGCGUGCCUAACACAUGCAAGUCGAACGGAGAUUUAACGCUGAUGAGGCUUCGGCGGAAUCUUGUUAAAUCUUAGUGGCGGACGGGUGAGUAACGCGUGGGCAACCUGCCUCGUACUGGGGGAUAACAGUUGGAAACGACUGUUAAUACCGCAUAAGCGCACGGUGUCGCAUGACACAGUGUGAAAAACUCCGGUGGUACGAGAUGGGCCCGCGUCAGAUUAGCCAGUUGGUGGGGUAACGGCCUACCAAAGCAACGAUCUGUAGCCGGACUGAGAGGUCGGACGGCCACAUUGGGACUGAGACACGGCCCAAACUCCUACGGGAGGCAGCAGUGGGGGAUAUUGCACAAUGGGCGAAAGCCUGAUGCAGCGACGCCGCGUGAGUGAAGAAGUAUUUCGGUAUGUAAAGCUCUAUCAGCAGGGAAGAAAGACUCGUAAGAGAGAUGACGUAC